UUUUUUUUUUUUUUUCUAUGAGCCCUAUAUUUUAACAGCUUAGAUUUUUUUCAUUGUGGUCUCAUCAAGCCAGAAAAGUAAUGGAUCACAAUCUAGACGUUCAAAGUAUGACAAUGAAUUUUUUUUUUUUUCUUCUCCUUUGUUAGUCUGGUUGUAGCAAAAAGAGUUGCUUCUUAUAUUUUCUUGUCAGUUCCCUCGGGUCUACCAAGAAAUCUAUGGCUUUGCCUGCAGACAAGAGACCAAG